UACGGAGGGUGCAAGCGUUAAUCGGAUUUAUUGGGCGUAAAGGGCGCGUAGGCGGAAAUAUAAGUCAGAUGUGAAAUUUUUUGGCUCAACCUGAAAACUGCAUUUGAAACUAUAUUCCUUGAGGGUAGAUGGAGAAAACGGAAUUCCACGUGUAGCGGUGAAAUGCGUAGAUAUGUGGAAGAACACCAGUGGCGAAGGCGGUUUUCUAAUUUAUUCCUGACGCUGAGGCGCGAAAGCUGGGGGAGCAAACAGG
rnacentral:rRNA from 1 species